UCUGGACCCAACAAUCAAGGAACUAAGCAGCUCAAAAGCACACAGAGUGGGAGUCACAAAGCUGUUUUGAUGGACAGCAUAUCUGGGUGGCUGAACUAUUCAUCUGUUAAGUUGCCUUCUUUGGAGUGGAUACUUCAUCUUUCAAAGGGCUAAUUACAGUGUUGACUACCCAAUGUACUGUAUGGGUUCUAUUUCACUGUUGAUCUCUGCAUGAGGAACAGGCUGCAGAUAAGCUAGUCACAAAUGUCAGAUUUUGAAUUACCUAUGUAUGGACAAGUCAAUUAGUGAGUGGCAAUAAGUCAUCAGAUGCAAUUGCAGGGAAUAUGCAGUCUGGUCUUCCCUUUCUCAAGAGGCUCUUAUCUUCUCAUCUAUUGCAGCUAUAACUUGAAACUCUGCUGCAGUUGCCAUCUGGCAUAUAAGCAUGGAUCUGGGCCUAAAUGCAAACCAAUAAAGAUGGAUGAAAGAC